UAGAAAUUAGUAAACAACUAUCAGACGCAAUCAGCACCUCAGAGGCUUCUCUGGAUUUUACUCUGAUCACAAAAGCACCUGAAACCGAGAACAGCACCUGACUUAAAUUUCCUUCCAAGAGAAGUCCAACUGCCUCCCUCAUUAAUUAUUUGAAAUGUUAAGGAUGAAGAGGCAGAUGAGAUGGCUCUGGCCUGUGGUGAUGCUUGCAAUCCUGAGCGAACUUCUCUGGACUGCUUCUGCAGCAGAGGGCGAUCCCACUACGAAAGCAAAAACAACCAAGAAAGCACCAGAAAAAACAACCAAGUCACACAGCAGUGUUCCUAUGCCUGCUAUCCCUCUCAUUUUGACUGUUUCAUCUUUAUGUAUUUUCUUUGUCUCUCAAUAUAAGCUUUAAAAUAAGCCUGUUUAUUAGAGGAACUGUAAGUCAAAUUCAGAAAAAAAAUAAUCUGUCUGUAUCUGACAAAUCUUUUGCUAUCCCUCUUGUCCUUCUGAAAUGUAUGUUGCCUUGUUAGCAAAUCCACAGCAAUGUGUGAUUUUUAAAUUCAGUUUAGCUUUCGCAUUGUGAUGGUAAAUGGAGACAAGAGGCUAAAUUAUUAUUAUUAUUAAUAAUUGUUGGAACGAAUGGAAAAACUUUAAAUAUAACUAUAGAAAAUUGCUGUAUUAAGCAGGCUUUAUCUAGAGGAAAGCUGAUUGACCAGAAUCUGGAAUACAGAAUCAAAGGCCACAUCGACAAAAUUGAAAGAUUAGUGUCAUGUAUGGACUAUUUUGAAAAAUAAUAGAAAGACUCAAUCAAGACUUUUAUGUAAUAUGUCCUACAUUAAAUGAAAUCUGAUAAAAAAAAUGCUUACAAAUGUA